UAAAUGACUUGCAUCGAUGAAGAACAUAGCGAAAUGUGAUACUUGGUGUGAAUUGCAAAAUCCCGUGAACCAUCGAGUCCUUGAACGCAAGUUGCGCCCGAAGCCAUUAGGUUGAGGGCACGUCUACCUGGUCGUCUCAC
rnacentral:rRNA from 1 species